rnacentral:lncRNA from 1 species
GGACUAGUCGAGCACGGUUUGACUUCCACUCUAGGUAUAUGUGCUAGAGCAAAAGGUUGACUAGACUUUAAGGAUAUGUAUUAGGGUUAGUCGGAUGAACUCUAAGUAUAUGUAUUAGAGUCCGAAUGAAUUUGAUAUCAUUUGCCUGAGUUCUAAGUGUGUAAUUUAGAACUCUGUCGAUUUGGAGAUGUUUUGGAUUGGGUUUAGUUUGAUUGUUUAGUUUAACGACUUUACGGUCGUUUGAAUUUGAGUUUAGUUUAAUGACUUUGCGGUCGUUUGAAUUUGGGUUUAAUUUAGCGACUUUACGGUCGUUUGGAUUUGGGUUUAGUUUAACGACGUUUCGGUCGUUGGGUUUAGUUUAACGACGUUUUGGUCGUUUGAAUUUGGGUUUAUUUUAACGACGUUUCGGUCGUUUGAAUUUGGGUUUAGUUUAGCGACAUUUCGGUCGUUUGAAUUUGGGUUUAGUUUAGCGACUGUUCGAUCGUUUGAAAUUGAGAUGUUCAUGAAACUGAUUCAUGAAAUUAAUUCAUGCUAGGAGCCCGUUUGUAAAGUCCAUUGAAUUGAUGAAAUUAAUUCAUGAUAGGGGCCAUUUGGAGAGCCCAUUGAAUUAAUUUAUGAUAAGGAGCCAUUUGGAGGGCCCAUUAAUUCAUGAAAUUAAUCUAUGACAAGGACGGCCCAUGAAAUUAAUUCAUAGAAUUAAUCCGUGAUAAAGGGCCUAUUUGGCAAACCCAUGAAAUUAAUUUGUCGAAUUAAUUCAUGAUAGGGGGCCUUUGGAAAGCCCAGGAAAUUGAUUCAUAGAAUUAAUUCAUAAUAAAGGGCCCAUUUGGAAAGCUCAUGAAUUCGGUUUGGGUUGGAGGUAUUUGGAUGACAUAGGUUUGGUAAAUUUGGUUGGAUUUUACUUAUGGACUUUGGAUCUUAGAUCUUUGGGUUUUGGGUUUUGGAUCUUAUUUGUGGACUUUGGAUUUUGGAUCUUUGUUUGUGGAUUUUGUAUUUUUGGGAUUUUGUUUGUGGACUUUGGGUUUUGGAUCUUCGUGGAUUUUGGAUUUUGGGAUUUUGUUUGUGGGCUUUGGGUUAAGAAAUUCAUUCACAUGAAUUUUUAUUGGUUUUGGACCCAAAUCUGAAUGUGGGUUGAGCUAGGCUGCGGGCUUUA